ACUCAAAUGAAUUGACGGGGGCCCGCACAAGCGGCGGAGCAUGCGGAUUAAUUCGAGGCAACGCGAAGAACCUUACCAAGGCUUGACAUACACCGGAAGCCGCCAGAGAUGGUGGUCUCUUUGAUACUGGUGUACAGGUGGUGCAUGGUUGUCGUCAGCUCGUGUCGUGAGAUGUUGGGUUAAGUCCCGCAACGAGCGCAACCCUUGUCCUAUGUUGCCAGCACGUUAUGGUGGGGACUCAUGGGAGACUGCCGGGGUUAACUCGGAGGAAGGUGGGGAUGACGUCAAAUCAUCAUGCCCCUUAUGUCUUGGGCUUCACGCAUGCUACAAUGGCCGGUACAGAGGGAAGCGAUAUCGUGAGGUGGAGCGGAUCCCUUAAAGCCGGUCUCAGUUCGGAUCGAAGUCUGCAACUCGACUUCGUGAAGGUGGAGUCGCUAGUAAUCGCAGAUCAGCAACGCUGCGGUGAAUACGUUCUCGGGCCUUGCACACACCGCCCGU
rnacentral:rRNA from 1 species